GCCCUAGUAGCUCAGUGUUUAGAGCGCCG
rnacentral:tRNA from 1 species